rnacentral:lncRNA from 1 species
GCAACUCUAGGGUUUAGGACAAAAGUUUGUUCUUUUAAGACAAGCCUAUUCUUAAUAGCUCUAAGGGUUCAAGAGAUCCAAAAAAAGGUGGUCAGAUCUAGUAGAUUAUUCUGAGAGGUUCAGACUCAGGUCUGAAGGAGGUCUGAUCGACUGGUGGCUAGUCGAGUUCUAGGUGCUAGAACUCUUGAAGCAAGGUGAAGGAGGAGCGCUAUCUUUGGUUCA